UACGAAGGGGGCUAGCGUUGUUCGGAAUUAUUGGGCGUAAAGCGCGCGCAGGCGGUUUCUUAAGUCUGAUGUGAAAGCCCACGGCUCAACCGUGGAGGGUCAUUGGAAACUGGGGAACUUGAGUGCAGAAGAGAAAAGCGGAAUUCCACGUGUAGCGGUGAAAUGCGUAGAGAUGUGGAGGAACACCAGUGGCGAAGGCGGCUUUUUGGUCUGUAACUGACGCUGAGGCGCGAAAGCGUGGGGAGCAAACAGG
rnacentral:rRNA from 1 species